UCCCUGGUAGCUUAGUGGUAAAGAAUCCGCCUGCCAAGCAGAAGACGUAGGUUCGAUCCCUGGGUCAAGGAG
rnacentral:tRNA from 1 species